GGGGAUUUAGCUCAGUGGUAGAGCGCUUGCCUAGCAAGCACAAGGCCCUGGGUUCGGUCCCCAGCUUCCA
rfam:Rattus norvegicus chromosome 8, whole genome shotgun sequence.